GUGUCAGCAGCCGCGGUAAUACGUAGGGUGCAAGCGUUGUCCGGAAUUAUUGGGCGUAAAGAGCUCGUAGGCGGUUUGUUGCGUCGGCUGUGAAAUCCCGAGGCUCAACCUCGGGUCUGCAGUCGAUACGAGCAAACUAGAGUGUUGCAGGGGAGACUGGAAUUCCUGGUGUAGCGGUGAAAUGCGCAGAUAUCAGGAGGAACACCGGUGGCGAAGGCGGGUCUCUGGGCAACAACUGACGCUGAGGAGCGAAAGCGUGGGGAGCGAACAGGAUUAGAUACCCGCGUAGUCC
rnacentral:rRNA from 1 species